rfam:Aedes albopictus isolate Foshan contig147383, whole genome shotgun sequence.
CAAACGGCCCUUUUUAGGGCCACAGAAAAUCCCACUCAAGAGGUG